rnacentral:lncRNA from 1 species
CGGAGUGGGAGUUACAUCACCAGGAGUCAAUUUCCUGGUUCUCCAGCUUGCCGUUGGCAGAUCUUGGAACUUGUAGGCCUCUAUAAUUGUGGUCAAGUUUCAGGUGAAAUCACUAGACAAGAAAUAUCAUUCAGACUGCCUAGGGCUGUGUUCUGAAGCUACAGAGGUACCUUGAUGUCAGGAAGAAUAGCAAUGGCAGAAAAUGUUUCAUCUUGCAUGCCAGCACAGACCAAUGGCAAUGGAUGUCUGAAUCACUGGGUUAACAAGGAAAAGAAUGCUGUGCUUAAGUAGCAAUGUCUGCUCUGAGCAUGGCAGGAGAAAUUAUUGGCACCUCUGUCAGAUAUUUGAUAUCUAUUUCUUAAAUAGAAUACAUACAUAUUCUAAGAACAAGAAAAGCAUAAACAAAUUAAUAAAUUACUUUCUGACUUCUAAACCA